rnacentral:rRNA from 1 species
UACGAAGGGGGCUAGCGUUGUUCGGAAUUACUGGGCGUAAAGCGCACGUAGGCGGCGCAGCAAGUUGGGGGUGAAAUCCCGAGGCUCAACCUCGGAAUUGCCUUCAAAACUGCUGUGCUCGAGUUCGGAAGAGGUGAGUGGAAUUCCCAGUGUAGAGGUGAAAUUCGUAGAGAUUGGGAAGAACACCAGUGGCGAAGGCGGCUCACUGGUCCGCAACUGACGCUGAGGUGCGAAGGCUAGGGGAGCGAACAGG